rnacentral:lncRNA from 1 species
AGUGAGACUGUUCACAUGGAUCUCAAAUAAGCUCUUCAAUCAAAGCUACCUAAAAUUAUCACCAUUUGCUAAUAUACCAUGGCCUUCAAGUCAACAAGUUCUGAUAAAUACUUAUCGGGUUUGGAAAGUCUUAGUUAGGAAAACCUGGCCCAUAGAGAGCUUACACCUAUGACCUUGGCUUCGUGGGCACCAUGAUCUCAGCAAUGCAUCUAUCAUGCCUGCCUUUGGACCUAAUGAGUAUGAACCACAUUACAUCAGAGAAGAGUGCCAGGGUCAACAAUUAAUAUUUUAGAGUUACAACUACAUGUGAACCUAUGUACUUGCAUUUUCAGCAAUAUUGCAGCAUAGUAUUAUUUAUCUCUAAAAUAAAAAAUGC